rnacentral:rRNA from 1 species
CCCUUAGAUGUCCUGGGCCGCACGCGCGUUACACUGAUGCAUUCAACGAGCUUAUAACCUUGGCCGAGAGGCCUGGGCAAUCUUGUUAACGUGCAUCGUGAUAGGGAUAGAUUAUUGAAAUUAUUAAUCUUGAACGAGGAAUUCCUAGUAAACGCAGAUCAUCAAUCUGCAUUGAUUACGUCCCUGCCCUUUGUACACACCGCCCGUCGCACCUACCGAUUGGAUGGUCCGGUGAAGCCUCGGGAUUGUGGUUCUUGCCGCUUUAUUGUGGCGUGACCGCGAGAACUUGUCGAAACCUUAUCAUCGAGAGGAAGGUGAAGGCGGAACA